CCUACGGGUAGCAGCAGGGAGGAAUAUGGGUCAAUGGCCGAGAGGCUGAACCAGCCAAGUCGCGUGAGGGAAGACGGCCCUACGGGUUGUAAAACUCUUUUGUCGGGGAGCAAAGCGAGGCACGUGUGACUCAUUGAGAGUACCCGAAGAAAAAGCAUCGGCUAACUCCGUGCCAGCAGCCGCGGUAAUACGGAGGAUGCGAGCGUUAUCCGGAGUUAUUGGGUUUAAAGGGUGCGCAGGCGGAGGUGCAAGUCAGCGGUCAACUUGCGGGGCUCAACCCCGUACUGCCGUUGAAACUGCAUCCCUUGCGUGCGAGAAGUCGGCGGAAUGCGUGGUGUAGCGGUUAAAUGCAUAGAUAUCACGCAGAACUCCGAUUGCGAAGGCAGCAUACCGGCGCGCAACUGACGCUCAUGCACGAAAGCGUGGGUAUCGAACAGGAUUAGAUACCCGAGUAGUC
rnacentral:rRNA from 1 species